UACGAAGGGGGCUAGCGUUGUUCGGAAUCACUGGGCGUAAAGCGCACGCAGGCGGAUCGUUAAGUCAGGGGUGAAAUCCCGAGGCUCAACCUCGGAACUGCCUUUGAUACUGGCGAUCUUUGAGUCCGGGAGAGGUGAGUGGAACUCCGAGUGUAGAGGUGAAAUUCGUAGAUAUUCGGAAGAACACCAGUGGCGAAGGCGGCUCACUGGCCCGGUACUGACGCUCAUGUGCGAAAGCGUGGGGAGCAAACAGGG
rnacentral:rRNA from 1 species